AACGAACGCUGGCGGCAUGCCUAACACAUGCAAGUCGAACGAGAUCUUCGGGUCUAGUGGCGCACGGGUGCGUAACGCGUGGGAAUCUGCCCUUUGGUUCGGAAUAACAGUUGGAAACGACUGCUAAUACCGGAUGAUGACGAAAGUCCAAAGAUUUAUCGCCAGAGGAUGAGCCCGCGUAGGAUUAGCUAGUUGGUGUGGUAAAGGCGCACCAAGGCGACGAUCCUCAGCUGGUCUGAGAGGAUGAUCAGCCACACUGGGACUGAGACACGGCCCAGACUCCUACGGGUGGAGGCAGUGGGGAAUAUUGGACAAUGGGCGAAAGCCUGAUCCAGCAAUUCCGCGUGAGUGAUGAAGGCCUUAGGGUUGUAAAGCUCUUUUACCCGGGAUGAUAAUGACAGUACCGGGAGAAUAAGCUCCGGCUAACUCCGUGCCAGCAGCCGCCGUAACAC
rnacentral:rRNA from 1 species